AUUGAACGCUGGCGGCAGGCUUAACACAUGCAAGUCGAGCGGGGUGAUGGUGCUUGCACUAUCACUUAGCGGCGGACGGGUGAGUAAUGCUUAGGAAUCUGCCUAUUAGUGGGGGACAACAUCUCGAAAGGGAUGCUAAUACCGCAUACGUCCUACGGGAGAAAGCAGGGGAUCACUUGUGACCUUGCGCUAAUAGAUGAGCCUAAGUCGGAUUAGCUAGUUGGUGGGGUAAAGGCCUACCAAGGCGACGAUCUGUAGCGGGUCUGAGAGGAUGAUCCGCCACACAGGGACUGAGACAAGGCCCAGAAGCCUACGGGAGGCAGCAGUGGGGAAUAUUGGACAAUGGGGGGAACCCUGAUCCAGCCAUGCCGCGUGUGUGAAGAAGGCCUUAUGGUGGUAAAGCACUUUAAGCGAGGAGGAGGCUCUUUUGGUUAAUACCCAAGAUGAGUGGACGUUACUCGCAGAAUAAGCACCGGCUAACUCUGUGCCAGCCGCCGCUGUAA
rnacentral:rRNA from 1 species